GUCUGCGUGGAGCCGACCUUGAAAUACCACCCUUUAAUGUUUGAUGUUCUAACGUGGACCCGUAAUCCGGGUUGCGGACAGUGUCUGGUGGGUAGUUUGACUGGGGCGGUCUCCUCCUAAAGAGUAACGGAGGAGCACGAAGGUUGGCUAAUCCUGGUCGGACAUCAGGAGGUUAGUGCAAUGGCAUAAGCCAGCUUGACUGCGAGCGUGACGGCGCGAGCAGGUGCGAAAGCAGGUCAUAGUGAUCCGGUGGUUCUGAAUGGAAGGGCCAUCGCUCAACGGAUAAAAGGUACUCCGGGGAUAACAGGCUGAUACCGCCCAAGAGUUCAUAUCGACGGCGGUGUUUGGCACCUCGAUGUCGGCUCAUCACAUCCUGGGGCUGAAGUAGGUCCCAAGGGUAUGGCUGUUCGCCAUUUAAAGUGGUACGCGAGCUGGGUUUAGAACGUCGUGAGACAGUUCGGUCCCUAUCUGCCGUGGGCGCUGGAGAACUGAGGGGGGCUGCUCCUAGUACGAGAGGACCGGAGUGGACGCAUCACUGGUGUUCGGGUUGUCAUGCCAAUGGCACUGCCCGGUAGCUAAAUGCGGAAGAGAUAAGUGCUGAAAGCAUCUAAGCACGAAACUUGCCCCGAGAUGAGUUCUCCCUGAGACUUUAGGUCUCCUGAAGGAACGUUGAAGACGACGACGUUGAUAGGCCGGGUGUGUAAGCGCAGCGAUGCGUUGAGCUAACCGGUACUAAUGAACCGUGAGGCUUAACCUUACAACGCCGAAG
rnacentral:rRNA from 1 species